CAGUAGCCACGGUAAUACGGAGGGAGCUAGCGUUGUUCGGAAUUACUGGGCGUAAAGCGCGCGUAGGCGGUUACUCAAGUCAGAGGUGAAAGCCCGGGGCUCAACCCCGGAACUGCCUUUGAAACUAGGUGACUAGAAUCUUGGAGAGGUCAGUGGAAUUCCGAGUGUAGAGGUGAAAUUCGUAGAUAUUUGGAAGAACACCAGUGGCGAAGGCGACUGACUGGACAAGUAUUGACGCUGAGGUGCGAAAGCGUGGGGAGCAAACAGGAUUAGAUACCCGGGUAGUCCCUGUCUCUUAUAA
rnacentral:rRNA from 1 species